CGGUAACAGGAUUAGCUUGCUAAUCGCUGACGAGUGGCGGACGGGUGAGUAAUGCUUGGGAACUUGCCUUUGCGAGGGGGAUAACAGUUGGAAACGACUGCUAAUACCGCAUAAUGUCUUCGGACCAAACGGGGCUUCGGCUCCGGCGCAAAGAGAGGCCCAAGUGAGAUUAGCUAGUUGGUAAGGUAACGGCUUACCAAGGCGACGAUCUCUAGCUGUUCUGAGAGGAAGAUCAGCCACACUGGGACUGAGACACGGCCCAGACUCCUACGGGAGGCAGCAGUGGGGAAUAUUGUACAAUGGGGGAAACCCUGAUGCAGCCAUGCCGCGUGUGUGAAGAAGGCCUUCGGGUUGUAAAGCACUUUCAGUUGUGAGGAAAAGUUAGUAGUUAAUACCUGCUAGCCGUGACGUUAACAACAGAAGAAGCACCGGCUAACUCCGUGCCAGCAGCCGCGGUAAUACGGAGGGUGCGAGCGUUAAUCGGAAUUACUGGGCGUAAAGCGCACGCAGGCGGUUUGUUAAGCUAGAUGUGAAAGCCCCGGGCUCAACCUGGGAUGGUCAUUUAGAACUGGCAGACUAGAGUCUUGGAGAGGGGAGUGGAAUUCCAGGUGUAGCGGUGAAAUGCGUAGAUAUCUGGAGGAACAUCAGUGGCGAAGGCGACUCCCUGGCCAAAGACUGACGCUCAUGUGCGAAAGUGUGGGUAGCGAACAGGAUUAGAUACCCUGGUAGUCCACACCGUAAACGCUGUCUACUAGCUGUGUGUGUCUUUAAGACGUGCGUAGCGAAGCUAACGCGCUAAGUAGACCGCCUGGGGAGUACGGCCGCAAGGUUAAAACUCAAAUGAAUUGACGGGGGCCCGCACAAGCGGUGGAGCAUGUGGUUUAUUCGAUGCAACGCGAAGAACCUCACCUACACUUGACAUGCUGAGAAGUUACUAGAGAUAGU
rnacentral:rRNA from 1 species